GGGGGUGUAGCUCAGCUGGGAGAGCAUCUGCCUUGCACGCAGAAGGUCGCAGGUUCGAUCCCUGUCACCUCCACCA
rnacentral:tRNA from 1 species